UUGGUUAAGUGCUAAGCAUUCUAUGCUUUAAAAAAAUCCUACUUAAUAUUCAAAACCAUUUAAUUUCCCCAUUUGUUCACUAAAUGGAUUAGUGAACAAAUUAUGCAUUUAACAGUAGGUGCAAUUCUGUGGCAGACAUAUUGAAGGUCAUUGGGAUAAAAUUAUAGAUAAAAUGAUGACUGGAUUCUAGAAAGGAACGUGACUGAUUUCUUUUAGAAUUAUAAUGUCAUGGGGCAAAGGUGAUGGAAGGAUCACUUCCCAUCUCUUCACCACACAUCACUUUUAGAUGGCCAGUGCAUGCACUUCUCGGUCU
rnacentral:lncRNA from 1 species